GUAAUACGUAGGGGGCAAGCGUUGUCCGGAAUCACUGGGCGUAAAGCGCGUGUAGGCGGCCAGGUAAGUCAGAGGUGAAAACCGGCGGCUCAACCGCAGGCUUGCCUUUGAAACUACUUGGCUUGAGGUCAGAAGAGGAGAGUGGAAUUCCCAGUGUAGCGGUGAAAUGCGUAGAUAUUGGGAGGAACACCAGUGGCGAAGGCGGCUCUCUGGUCUGCACCUGACGCUGAGGCGCGAAAGCGUGGGUAGCAAACAGGAUUAGAUACCCUGGUAGUCCACGCCGUAAACGAUGGGUGCUAGGUGUUGGGGGUAUGAACCCCUCAGUGCCGUACGUAACGCGAUAAGCACCCCGCCUGGGAAGUACGGUCGCA
rnacentral:rRNA from 1 species